AUGAACGCUAGCUACAGGCUUAACACAUGCAAGUCGAGGGGCAGCAUGGUCUUAGCUUGCUAAGGCCGAUGGCGACCGGCGCACGGGUGAGUAACACGUAUCCAACCUGCCGUCUACUCUUGGACAGCCUUCUGAAAGGAAGAUUAAUACAAGAUGGCAUCAUGAGUCCGCAUGUUCACAUGAUUAAAGGUAUUCCGGUAGACGAUGGGGAUGCGUUCCAUUAGAUAGUAGGCGGGGUAACAGCCCACCUAGUCUUCGAUGGAUAGGGGUUCUGAGAGGAAGGUCCCCCACAUUGGAACUGAGACACGGUCCAAACUCCUACGGGAGGCAGCAGUGAGGAAUAUUGGUCAAUGGGCGAGAGCCUGAACCAGCCAAGUAGCGUGAAGGAUGACUGCCCUAUGGGUUGUAAACUUCUUUUGUAAAGGAAUAAAGUCGGGUAUGGAUACCCGUUUGCAUGUACUUUAUGAAUAAGGAUCGGCUAACUCCGUGCCAGCAGCCGCGGUAAUACGGAGGAUCCGAGCGUUAUCCGGAUUUAUUGGGUUUAAAGGGAGCGUAGAUGGAUGUUUAAGUCAGUUGUGAAAGUUUGCGGCUCAACCGUAAAACUGCAGUUGCUACUGGAUAUCUUUAGUGCAGUUGAGGCAGGCGGAAUUCGUGGUGUAGCGGUGAAAUGCUUAGAUAUCACGAAGAACUCCGAUUGCGAAGGCAGCCUGCUAAGCUGCAACUGACAUUGAGGCUCGAAAGUGUGGGUAUCAAACAGGAUUAGAUACCCUGGUAGUCCACACGGUAAACGAUGAAUACUCGCUGUUUGCGAUAUACUGCAAGCGGCCAAGCGAAAGCGUUAAGUAUUCCACCUGGGGAGUACGCCGGCAACGGUGAAACUCAAAGGAAUUGACGGGGGCCCGCACAAGCGGAGGAACAUGUGGUUUAAUUCGAUGAUACGCGAGGAACCUUACCCGGGCUUGAACUGCAGUGGAAUUAUCCGGAAACGGAUAAGCGAGCAAUCGCCGCUGUGGAGGUGCUGCAUGGUUGUCGUCAGCUCGUGCCGUGAGGUGUCGGCUUAAGUGCCAUAACGAGCGCAACCCUUGUUGUCAGUUACUAACAGGUUCCGCUGAGGACUCUGACAAGACUGCCAUCGUAAGAUGUGAGGAAGGUGGGGAUGACGUCAAAUCAGCACGGCCCUUACGUCCGGGGCUACACACGUGUUACAAUGGGGGGUACAGAGGGCCGCUACCACGCGAGUGGAUGCCAAUCCCCAAAACCUCUCUCAGUUCGGACUGGAGUCUGCAACCCGACUCCACGAAGCUGGAUUCGCUAGUAAUCGCGCAUCAGCCACGGCGCGGUGAAUACGUUCCCGGGCCUUGUACACACCGCCCGUCAAGCCAUGGGAGCCGGGGGUACCUGAAGUGCGUAACCGCGAGGAGCGCCCUAGGGUAAAACUGGUGACUGGGGCU
rnacentral:rRNA from 1 species